AUGACUUCAGUGGAAGAGCGUAGAUCGGACUCAAGAGAAGAAAACUUAUCUUUCCAGGCCAUAACAUCCUGUUCCCUGUCAAGCAACAACCUCUCGUAAUACUUAAUCAUGUCAUUGAGUUCGAUGUUUGCCUGA
rnacentral:sRNA from 1 species